GUGUUGGUUAGGGUUGUUUAGUUGGGUCUCUCUAGGCCCAUUGGGCUUAUUAUGAAUGAUUUUAGUUUUUGCUGUUGUGUAAUUUUCACCCAGGCGUGAAGUCACUUGUCACCUCAUUCACAAACGGUAACUUAUUUGAGACUCAAAAUUUACAACGGUAAGAAAAUAUAGACGUUAAAGAAGUAGCCAUUGAAAGAAGAAAUCCGAAGCUGCCUAUAUAAGUGGUUCGUGCUCACUCACUUACUUACCACAGUCAUUUCUUCUUCUUCUUCUGUAUUAUCACUUACUAUUCUCGUUGUUUCGUCCAAAGUUUAUCGAGAGCAAAGUUUCAUUCCAUUCAACAAAUUUCGUCCAAGGUUUCUCGUAGUCACUCGUAGAACUCUGCUUUUAAGUGUUCUUGCAGGUUCUCUGCGAGCAAAUAGCCAGAAACGGAAGGUUUUUCAUGAAAUUUCAUUGCAACGAAUGCAAAGAAAGAAAAACAGAGAGGCGGUUUAGACUUCAUACUUCAGACUCUGCUUUUGGGUUUGGUUACUUUGAUCCGAAUAAGUUCAUUAGCAGAGACAAUUUUUCUUCCUACACGUAAGGCAUUUUAUCUUGACGAAAGAUUUCAUUCUUUAUGCAUCGCAGAAAAAUAUGACCAUUAUUUGUUGACAAAUACUCGUAAAAUAUCUGUUAGUAACAUUUUUUAGUUUGACGAGAUGAUAGUUAUUGCAAUCUUUAUGCAAUUUUUGGCAGAAUUUUUUUUUUCAAAGAAAAAUAAACGUUUA